UUAAGCGACUAAGCGUACACGGUGGAUGCCCUGGCAGUCAGAGGCGAUGAAGGACGUGCUAAUCUGCGAAAAGCGUCGGUAAGGUGAUAUGAACCGUUAUAACCGGCGAUGUCCGAAUGGGGAAACCCAGUGUGAUUCGUCACACUAUCGUUAACUGAAUACAUAGGUUAACGAGGCGAACCGGGGGAACUGAAACAUCUAAGUACCCCGAGGAAAAGAAAUCAACCGAGAUUCCCCCAGUAGCGGCGAGCGAACGGGGAGCAGCCCAGAGUCUGAAUCAGCUUGUGUGUUAGUGGAACGGUCUGGAAAGUCCGACGGUACAGGGUGAUAGUCCCGUACACCAAAAUGCACAGGUUGUGAACUCGAAGAGUAGGGCGGGACACGUGGUAUCCUGUCUGAAUAUGGGGGGACCAUCCUCCAAGGCUAAAUACUCCUGACUGACCGAUAGUGAACCAGUACCGUGAGGGAAAGGCGAAAAGAACCCCGGCGAGGGGAGUGAAAAAGAACCUGAAACCGUGUACGUACAAGCAGUGGGAGCACCUUCGGGUGUGACUGCGUACCUUUUGUAUAAUGGGUCAGCGACUUAUAUUCUGUAGCAAGGUUAACCGUAUAGGGGAGCCGCAGGGAAACCGAGUCUUAACUGGGCGUUAAGUUGCAGGGUAUAGACCCGAAACCCGGUGAUCUAGCCAUGGGCAGGUUGAAGGUUGGGUAACACUAACUGGAGGACCGAACCGACUAAUGUUGAAAAAUUAGCGGAUGACUUGUGGCUGGGGGUGAAAGGCCAAUCAAACCGGGAGAUAGCUGGUUCUCCCCGAAAGCUAUUUAGGUAGCGCCUCGUGAACUCAUCUUCGGGGGUAGAGCACUGUUUCGGCUAGGGGGUCAUCCCGACUUACCAACCCGAUGCAAACUACGAAUACCGAAGAAUGUUAUCACGGGAGACACACGGCGGGUGCUAACGUCCGUCGUGAAGAGGGAAACAACCCAGACCGCCAGCUAAGGUCCCAAAGUCAUGGUUAAGUGGGAAACGAUGUGGGAAGGCACAGACAGCCAGGAUGUUGGCUUAGAAGCAGCCAUCAUUUAAAGAAAGCGUAAUAGCUCACUGGUCGAGUCGGCCUGCGCGGAAGAUGUAACGGGGCUAAACCAUGCACCGAAGCUGCGGCAGCGACACUAUGUGUUGUUGGGUAGGGGAGCGUUCUGUAAGCCUGCGAAGGUGGCCUGUGAGGGUUGCUGGAGGUAUCAGAAGUGCGAAUGCUGACAUAAGUAACGAUAAAGCGGGUGAAAAGCCCGCUCGCCGGAAGACCAAGGGUUCCUGUCCAACGUUAAUCGGGGCAGGGUGAGUCGACCCCUAAGGCGAGGCCGAAAGGCGUAGUCGAUGGGAAACAGGUUAAUAUUCCUGUACUUGGUGUUACUGCGAAGGGGGGACGGAGAAGGCUAUGUUAGCCGGGCGACGGUUGUCCCGGUUUAAGCAUGUAGGCGGAGGUUCCAGGUAAAUCCGGUACCUUUUAACGCUGAGGUGUGAUGACGAGGCACUACGGUGCUGAAGUAACAAAUGCCCUGCUUCCAGGAAAAGCCUCUAAGCAUCAGGUAACAUUAAAUCGUACCCCAAACCGACACAGGUGGUCAGGUAGAGAAUACCAAGGCGCUUGAGAGAACUCGGGUGAAGGAACUAGGCAAAAUGGUGCCGUAACUUCGGGAGAAGGCACGCUGGUGUGUAGGUGAAGUCCCUGCGGAUGGAGCUGAGACCAGUCGAAGAUACCAGCUGGCUGCAACUGUUUAUUAAAAACACAGCACUGUGCAAACACGAAAGUGGACGUAUACGGUGUGACGCCUGCCCGGUGCCGGAAGGUUAAUUGAUGGGGUUAUCCGUAAGGAGAAGCUCUUGAUCGAAGCCCCGGUAAACGGCGGCCGUAACUAUAACGGUCCUAAGGUAGCGAAAUUCCUUGUCGGGUAAGUUCCGACCUGCACGAAUGGCGUAAUGAUGGCCAGGCUGUCUCCACCCGAGACUCAGUGAAAUUGAACUCGCUGUGAAGAUGCAGUGUACCCGCGGCAAGACGGAAAGACCCCGUGAACCUUUACUAUAGCUUGACACUGAACAUUGAGCCUUGAUGUGUAGGAUAGGUGGGAGGCUUUGAAGCGUGGACGCCAGUCUGCGUGGAGCCAACCUUGAAAUACCACCCUUUAAUGUUUGAUGUUCUAACGUUGGCCCGUAAUCCGGGUUGCGGACAGUGUCUGGUGGGUAGUUUGACUGGGGCGGUCUCCUCCCAAAGAGUAACGGAGGAGCACGAAGGUUAGCUAAUCCUGGUCGGACAUCAGGAGGUUAGUGCAAUGGCAUAAGCUAGCUUGACUGCGAGCGUGACGGCGCGAGCAGGUGCGAAAGCAGGUCAUAGUGAUCCGGUGGUUCUGAAUGGAAGGGCCAUCGCUCAACGGAUAAAAGGUACUCCGGGGAUAACAGGCUGAUACCGCCCAAGAGUUCAUAUCGACGGCGGUGUUUGGCACCUCGAUGUCGGCUCAUCACAUCCUGGGGCUGAAGUAGGUCCCAAGGGUAUGGCUGUUCGCCAUUUAAAGUGGUACGCGAGCUGGGUUUAGAACGUCGUGAGACAGUUCGGUCCCUAUCUGCCGUGGGCGCUGGAGAAUUGAGGGGGGCUGCUCCUAGUACGAGAGGACCGGAGUGGACGCAUCACUGGUGUUCGGGUUGUCAUGCCAAUGGCACUGCCCGGUAGCUAAAUGCGGAAGAGAUAAGUGCUGAAAGCAUCUAAGCACGAAACUUGCCCCGAGAUGAGUUCUCCCUGAGACUUUAAGUCUCCUGAAGGAACGUUGAAGACGACGACGUUGAUAGGCCGGGUGUGUAAGCGCAGCGAUGCGUUGAGCUAACCGGUACUAAUGAACCGUGAGGCUUAACCUU
rnacentral:rRNA from 2 species